AACGCACCUUGCGCCCCUUGGCAUUCCGAGGGGCACACCCGUUUGAGUGUCGUGAAAUUCUCAAAAACCCUUCCUUUGGUGGAAAGGAUUUUGGACUUGGAGGCCUUUUGCUGGUUUCACCUUGAAGCGAGCUCCUCCCAAAUGGAUUAGUGGGGUCUGCUUUGCCGGUCCUAGACGUGAUAGGAUGUUUCUACGUCUUGGGUUUCUGCACUGUACCUCUGCUUCUAACCGUCUCAUUGACAAUGAUGGUGUUCCGGUCACCGCCGAUUUAUCGGUUGGGAGGCUUGACCCACAAAACGACCUUGACCUCAAAUCGGGUGAGACUACCCGCUGAACUUAA
rnacentral:misc_RNA from 1 species